rnacentral:rRNA from 1 species
CCUACGGGCGGCAGCAGUGGGGGAUAUUGCACAAUGGGGGGAACCCUGAUGCAGCGACGCCGCGUGGGUGAAGGAGUGCUUCGGAUUGUAAACCCCUGUCAUGUGGGAGCAAAUUAAAAAGAUAGUACCACAAGAGGAAGAGACGGCUAACUCUGUGCCAGCAGCCGCGGUAAUACAGAGGUCUCAAGCGUUGUUCGGAAUCACUGGGCGUAAAGCGUGCGUAGGCUGUUUCGUAAGUCGUGUGUGAAAGGCGCGGGCUCAACCCGCGGACGGCACAUGAUACUGCGAGACUAGAGUAAUGGAGGGGGAACCGGAAUUCUCGGUGUAGCAGGGAAAUGCGUAGAUAUCGAGAGGAACACUCGUGGCGAAGGCGGGUUCCUGGACAUUAACUGACGCUGAGGCACGAAGGCCAGGGGAGCGAAAGGGAUUAGAUACCCUGGUAGUC